GAUCCUGCUCAGGAUGAACGCUGGCGGCGUGCUUAACACAUGCAAGUCGAGCGAAGCGCUUUUGCGGAUUUCUUCGGAUUGAAGCAACUGUGACUGAGCGGCGGACGGGUGAGUAACGCGUGGGUAACCUACCUCAUACAGGGGGAUAACAGUUGGAAAUGGCUGCUAAUACCGCAUAAGCGCACAGUACCGCAUGGUACCGUGUGAAAAACUCCGGUGGUAUGAGAUGGACCCGCGU
rnacentral:rRNA from 1 species